GCCCAAUUUCGCACGUGCCUGUGGUCGCGUGCCGGUUGGUGGGCAUCCGGACAAGAGGCCGGACAGCCGCCCGAGAACGACCUAGUUCUCGAUACCCCUAACCGGCAGCCGGAGGCGAAACCGGCGUACUUCGCUCUCAGCGGAGGACGCGGCUUAAAGCAACGACGAACGGGCUUUU
rnacentral:sRNA from 1 species